rnacentral:rRNA from 1 species
CAGCCGCCGCGGUAAUACGUAGGGCGCAAGCGUUAUCCGGAAUUAUUGGGCGUAAAGAGCUCGUAGGUGGUUUGUCGCGUCUGCCGUGAAAGUCCGGGGCUCAACCCCGGAUCUGCGGUGGGUACGGGCAGACUAGAGUGAUGUAGGGGAGACUGGAAUUCCUGGUGUAGCGGUGAAAUGCGCAGAUAUCAGGAGGAACACCGAUGGCGAAGGCAGGUCUCUGGGCAUUAACUGACGCUGAGGAGCGAAAGCAUGGGGAGCGAACAGGAUUAGAUACCCCAGUAGUCCCUGUCUCUUAUAC